rnacentral:rRNA from 1 species
AUUGAACGCUGGCGGCAGGCCUAACACAUGCAAGUCGAACGAGUGGCGGACGGGUGAGUAAUGUCUGGGAAACUGCCUGAUGGAGGGGGAUAACUACUGGAAACGGUAGCUAAUACCGCAUACCAUCGGAUGUGCCCAGAUGGGAUUAGCUAGUAGGUGUGGUAAAGGCUCACCUAGGCGACGUUCCCUAGCUGGUCUGAGAGGAUGACCAGGCACAAUGGAACGGAGACACGGACCAGAGUCCUACGGGAGGCAGCAGUGGGGAAUAUUGCAAGAUGGGCGCAAGCCUGAUACGGCCAUGCCGCGUGUAUGAAGAAGGCCCGCGGGUUGUAGAAUACUUUCAUCGGGAAGGCGUUACCCGCAGAAGAAGCACCGGCUAACUCCGUGCCAGCCGCCGCGGUAAUAC